CCCCCGUUCUCCUCAUUCUCCACGUUCUAAUUCCCCUCACUCCCCCACAGCCCACUGUUAGGCCUAGUAAACGGCCAUCUCUCUCCCCCAGCUAACGGCCAGGGAGACGUCAGUGGCAGUGGAGCCUUUCCAGAGCUCAAAGACCCUGAGAGUGACCAACCCCAACCUGACAGGGCAGAUGGGGUGGAGACCACUGACCAAACCCCAGCUCUGACCACCCCCUCUCCGCCACCCAGCCCCCGUAAGGACCCCUCCCGCAGGCUGAGCCGUAUCCCUGUCCUGCUGGACCUUCUCCCCACCCCUGGCUCUGCCAUGGAGAAGCUGCUCCAGAAGAAAGCCCCCCACCACCAGGGAGGAGGCCACCACCCAGCCCCCUCUCCCUCUAUCUCCCACCGCGGCCCCGUCGUGGCCUCGCUCCCCCACGGGGACCAGCUGUCCUCCGCCUCAGACCGCUCUGAGAAGGCCGAUGAGUCGUUCCUGGGCUCGCGCUCUGACUGCCAGGGGAAUGACGCCCCCUCCCUCUCCUCCUCUUCCAGCCCCCUGUUCCGUAAGAGCAAGAUCCCACGCCCUUUUAACCCUACCAACCCGGCCCCAGAGCAGGAGAGUGCUGCACAGUACCUUCCACGCCCACCCCCGGGGAGACCACCCAGUCGGCUUGCAGCGGAGGGCAGACUGAAGCGUUAUCGGAUCCGAGCGGGCAGCACAAGGGACUCAGACCUCCUGACCUGUCUGUCCCAGCUGAUGCACCAUGGUCAGGGUGGUGGAUCUGCCCGCGGUUCCCCCCACCACGGCCACUCCUCAGCCCAGCUUGUAGGCUCCCGGAUGGGCAUGUGUAGCCUGACCAGCUCCCCCCACCACCAUCACCACCGGAGCUCCAGUGCCUCCCCACGCAGCUGUUCCUCUCUACAGCGCUCUGUCUCCUCCUCCCCCUCUCGUCACGAACACCGCGGGGGAGAGCGAGGCAGAGUGGUUUGUUUCGGUCGCUCCUGUUCUCCUCCCAGCUUCUCUGGGUCCCCCCCUCCUCCCCGGCGCUCCUAUCCCCACCAUCAGGAGAUUUGCUGCUGCCGCCAGGCCCGCACCGGCUCCCACCACCACCACGCCCUCAAGUGGAAAGCCUGCAGCCGCGAGGAGAGAGAGAGAAAGUGCUCCAGCAAGCUGAGCAGCAGAUAAUGGGUCACUGCUCUGGCCCUGGUCCUAGCCUGACCCAUAGAAACCCCUGGCCCCGUUUAUUCAAGUGUCUCAGAGUAGGACUGCUGAUCUAAGAUCAGUUUGGCCUUUUAGGUAAUAAUGAAUAAGAUUACAUUUACAAUCGUAUUCAUUAUGACCUAAAAGGUUAGACUGAUCCUAGAUCAGUAGUCUUAUUGUAAGAGCAUUUACGAGUAUGGCCUGGGAGUCAGUGUCAUUGCCACAGCAGAGGGUGGGAUCAGGAUGUUGAUGCAGACCAAACGAUCCUGCUCUGGAUCAAUGAAGGCCUGAGGCUUCUGUCAGAGAAUACUGAACAUAAUGUCCCCCCCUCUCCUCCCCUGUCCCCCCCUCUCCUCCUUCACACUUUCUUCUCUAAUUCCAACUAUUUGGUCAUUGUUUAGUCCCUAAUUCAUAUGCCCACUUUAAUACUUCAUACCUAAUGCAAAAAGGAUCUAUGUGCAUUAUGCUAUGUAUAAGAUGUUGGUGUUCUUGUGGGGUGUUUUCCCUCAUAUCAUCAGUGAAGUGAACACACUUAGCCCUCAUUCAGAAAACCCUAGGUCAGUCAGUGGAUGAGCACUCAUUUAUUCAUCACUCACCAAUUUAAUAUAGACUCAGUCUAUUCUGUUUCCUCUGUACUGACCUGGGGAGUGCAAGGUAUAGCAAGUCUACAUUUAUGGCCAUGAAGCUCCAGAGAAAUGUACACUAUCUACAGAACCUAUUUAUUUACAUCUUGACACACUUGUCACACCAGGUACACACUAACUGAUGACAUCAUCGAUUGAUGUGUCCUCCCUCUCUCUGACUUCAGAUGUACAGUGAGUGUCGUUUAUAUCAAAGGCAUUUCAAGCAAUCAAUUGAUCAAUGAUAGAAGUGAUCAGUCUUUUGAGAAGGAAGUGAUCCUUCCUUUAAAACAAUCAUAUAAAAUGUGUGUGUGCUCACACACGUACUUGUGCCUAAUGUGUUGACUGAUCUGGGGAAUCUAAAUGGCAAACUAAAUGUGUGAUUGAACACUAGUUACUGGGCCAUGAUUCCCUUUGUAUGCUCCUCUUCAGAAUGGAGUCUGACUUUGUGUCCCAAUUCUCUACCCUUCCUCCCUGGACUUAAUAGGAAAUUAAUGGUGUAAGAGAUAUGAUGGCAACCCUCCCUAAGUUUGCCCAUGCUUACAACCAUCCAAUUCAUUUAAAUAUAUGGAUGGGGGAUUGGGAUGCCUGCUGAGGAGGAUUGGGAUGCCUGCUGAGGAGGAUUGGGAUGCCUGCUGAGGAGGAUUGGGAUGCCUGCUGAGGAGAAUUGGGUUGCCUGCUGAGGAGGAUUGGGUUGCCUGCUGAGGAGGAUUGGGAUGCCUGCUGAGGAGAAUUGGGUUGCCUGCUGAGGAGAAUUAGGAUGCCUGCUGAGGAGAAUUAGGAUGCCUGCUGAUAACACUUAUGGUACUCAUUACUACACUAGUGGUGAAUACUAAGUUAUUAUUAUCAUUCAUGUAUAAUGUGUGCCUUGCCUUGGCACUUUGAGCAGCUUCUGGUUUCACUGCAAAGUAUGUUUCUCAUUUUUAUUCAAGGAGUCUAAUAAGACUAAUUUGUGCCAGCUGCAAAGACAGACAGUCCUCAUCAUGUGAUUGUAGCAGUCUUAUUCACUACAGACAGACAGUCCUCAUCAUGUGAUUGUAGCAGUCUUAUUCACUACAGACAGACAGUCCUCAUCAUGUGAUUGUAGCAGUCUUAUUCAAUACAGACAGACAGUCCUCAUCAUGUGAUUGUAGCAGUCCUCAUCAUGUGAUUGUAGCAGUCUUAUUCACUACAGACAGACAGUCCUCAUCAUGUGAUUGUAGCAGUCUUAUUCACUACAGACAGACAGUCCUCAUCAUGUGAUUGUAGCAGUCUUAUUCACUACAGACAGACAGUCCUCAUCAUGUGAUUGUAGCAGUCUUAUUCACUACAGACACAGUCCUCAUCAUGUGAUUGUAGCAGUCUUAUUCACUACAGACAAACAGUCCUCAUCAUGUGAUUGUAGCAGUCUUAUUCACUACAGACAGACAGUCCUCAUCAUGUGAUUGUAGCAGUCUUAUUCACUACAGACAGACAGUCCUCAUCAUGUGAUUGUAGCAGUCUUAUUCACUACAGACAGACAGUCCUCAUCAUGUGAUUGUAGCAGUCUUAUUCACUACAGACAGACAGUCCUCAUCAUGUGAUUGUAGCAGUCUUAUUCACUACAGACAGACAGUCCUUAUCAUGUGAUUGUAGCAGUCUUAUUCACUACAGACAGACAUUCCUCAUCAUGUGAUUGUAGCAGUCUUAUUCACCACAAGGAAAAGGAAGCCAAGUUAAUGUUUUUAUUUGAUUUAUUCAGACAAUAUUUGAAGAACGAUCAUUGUUAUUUAUGAUAUUAAAAAAAGGAAAUGUUUUAAACUAAAACGUAGAUAUCCUGUGUUGUAUAAAGUUUAGGACAGGUCCAACAUUUGUCAGUUUCCCUCCUCUGGUCCUCCAGUACCCCCAACAGCACACGUUGUAGCCCCGGACAAACACACCUGAUUCAGCUCAUCGAGGGCUUGAUGAUUAGUUGACAAGUUGAAUCAGGUGUGCUUGUCCAGGGCUACAAUAGAAAUGUGUACUGUUGUGGGUACUGGAGGACUGGAGUUGGGAAACACUGAUUUAUGUCAUAAAUAUCCUAUACCAAAUCAAUGUUUCAAACUUCCAAAGGAUAAAAAACAUGCGAAGAAGAAUGUUGUCUUUGCUUUGUAAUGACAUGUUUUGUGCACUAUUAUUUCAAACAGUUAAUGUAUUGUUUGAGAACCGACCCCAUUUUCUUUACUUCAUAAAGAUUCAAUGAACACUCAUUUAAAACCUCCCUCACCUAACCUUGGUUCUACCUACUACACCCUCUCCCUUAGCCUGAAUUCCAGACCUAGUUUUGUGCUGACAUUCCACUCGUUGUACUCUGUGUCAUUGUCAAGCAUUGGCAUGAAAAGGAGUGGUAUGAUAGCAGAAACAGUGAUACGCAGGCUACCUCUCCCCACCCCUCUGCUUGUAAUACACUGAUAUAACUAACUCAUGCUUCCAGCACUACUAUGCCUUGCAUGCGCUGCCUACCGAGAAAAACAAUCAACCAAUCAGUGAAGUAAGCAGCAUACCAGUUCCCAUAAUGCACUGUGAUUGUCUGAAAGGGACUUAUGUUUGUUGGGUAGUACCACAUGUAUUUUGGUUGGAAUAUUUAAUUUGCUUAGAUUUCCCUUUCGUCUCAUGAUCUCAUUCACUCUUAUCGUCCCACUUGACCCACAGCAUUGGUCUGGUUUCCUAGGUCUCCAAUUCUCACAACUUAGGACUACUGUACUGACUCAUUACUGAUAAAAAAAAAACUUCUGUAUUUAUUUUACAUCUGUCUGAUUGGCUUAUUAUCAUGAUGUGACACAUGCAUCGUAGAGUCUGAUUGGCUUAUUAUCAUGACGUGACACAUGCAUCGUAGAGUCUGAUUGGCUUAUUAUCAUGAUGUGACACAUGCAUAGUAUGGUCUGAUUGGCUUAUUAUCAUGAUGUGACACAUGCAUCGUAGAGUCUGAUUGGCUUAUUAUCAUGAUGUGACACAUGCAUAGUAUGAAUAACGUGUAGAGGAAAAUAAUUGCCUUAAUCUAAAGUAAUUUUAUCAUACAACCAUAAUCUACUGUAAUUCUGCAGUAUGAGAUGAACUAUAAUGAUCUACUGUAUGUCAAGUGGAUUGUUUUACUUGGUCCAUUGUGGUAGAUGGUAUUGGUACCUGCCUACAGUCUGGUGGCAUUCCAGGUUGUUUACAUUACAGACAUGUUGAUACAGAUCUGAUUGAACUAAGAUAGCUACAAAUGUGAAAGAGAGUAGUGUUUAACAUUGCAGGAACCCCAUCAAUUACUUAAUGAUCUGUGCAAAGUGUAGGCAACCUCUCACAGAGCAAUGUGUAGGCAGCCUGGAACACCCACUCUUUCUCACAGAGCAAUGUGUAGGCAGCCUGGAACGCCCCCUCUUUCUCACAGAGCAAUGUGUAGGCAGCCUGGAACACCCCCUCUUUCUCACAGAGCAACAUGUAGGCAGCCUGGAACACCCCCUCUUUCUCACAGAGCAAUGUGUAGGCAGCCUGGAACGCCCCCUCUUUCUCACAGAGCAACAUGUAAGCAGCGUGGUUCUCCCUCUCUGUCUCACAGAGCAACAUGUAGGCAGAGUGGAACUCUCUCUCUGUCUCACACAGCAACAUGUAGGCAGCGUGGAACUCCCUCUCUGUCUCACAGAGUAACAUGUAGGCAGCGUGGAACUCCCCCUCUUUCUCACAGAGCAACAUGUAAGCAGCGUGGUUCUCCCUCUCUGUCUCACAGAGCAACAUGUAGGCAGAGUGGAACUCUCUCUCUGUCUCACACAGCAACAUGUAGGCAGCGUGGAACUCCCUCUCUGUCUCACAGAGCAACAUGUAGGCAGCGUGGAACUCCCUCUCUGUCUCACAGAGCAACAUGUAGGCAGCGUGGAACUCCCUCUCUGUCUCACACAGCAACAUGUAGGCAGCGUGGAACUCCCUCUCUGUCUCACAGAGUAACAUGUAGGCAGCGUGGUUCUCCCUCUCUGUCUCACAGAGCAACAUGUAGGCAGCGUGGUUCUUCCUCUCUGUCUCACAGAGCAACAUGUAGGCAGCGUGCUUCUCCCUCUCUGUCUCACAGAGCAACAUGUAGGCAGUGUGGAACUCCCUCUGUCUCACAGAGCAACAUGUAGGCAGUGUGGUUCUCCUUCUCUGUCUCACAGAGCAACAUGUAGUCAGCGUGGAACUCCCUCUCUUUCUCACAGAGCAGCUAUGAUGGGACUCAUCCCAAGGCAGACACAGACGGUGUUCAGUCAGUCAGUCGCCUUAAUCAUGUGUUUCUCUUCUCUUCCCCUGGCUGUGUGUAAAGCAACGGAUAACUGAACUGUGUCUGUCUGUCUACUCUGUGCUGAGGAUCACUCCACUGCUUAGCCCCAACCUACCGUCAGGUUCCUCCCAUAGGCUGUAUAGGGUUCUCCCUUUCCCUCUUUGACAGGUGUGUUCAAAUCAAAUGUUAUUUGUCACAUGCGCCGAAUACAACAGGUGUAGACUUUACUGUGAAAUGCUUAUUUACGAGCCCUUUCCCAACAAUGCAGUCAAAAAGUAAGAAUAAUUAGCAAAAUAAAAAGGGAAUAGUAACACAAUAAAAUAACAGUAACGAGACUAUAUACAAGGAGUACCAGUACAGAGUCAAUGUGCAGGGGUACGAGGUAACUGAGGUAAUAUGUACAUGUAGGUAGGGGUAAAAGUGACGAGGCAAUCGGGAUAAGAUAAUAAACAGAUUAGCAGCUGUGUGUGUGUGUCUGUCGUCAUUAUGCAUGUCUGAGUGUGGGUGUGUGUGUUCUGCCUUUAUAGAUCUGUGGGAACUAUUUCUCUAGCAAAUUAGCAUCAGAUAGAUUGCUUUGCUUUCUGUUGGCAGCUCUGUUCUUAUUGGCUCGUUUGGCCCAAUCAUGUUGUCCAUUAACUGGACAGAAUGCGGGACUUCAACGUCAGUAACAAUUUGACCAGUGAGAUGUGUCUGGAUUCUGGAAUCAGAACCGAGGUUGAGUGUUCUAAGGGUUUUAAAUUCCUCUUGGUUGUAUGAUAACGGUCUGUGUUUACAUCCAGAGAUUGUGAUGUAAACAUCCACAUAGUACCACACCAAGCAGUAUUGCGAUAUCUUUUCAAUUCUAGGCUAUAUUCGGUACUUCCAUAAGCUAACUAACUGCAACUUUUUAAUAUAUAACUGUAAAAAGUGAAAAGUAUUAAUUUCAAAGAUCAUCUUGAUGAACCAUUGCAUAUUGCUUCAGUAAUGGCUUCAGUAAAGAGCUAACGGAAUAAACAGUGAUGCCAAUAAUCAAUCCAUUAAUUAUAUUUGUAUUUUAUUGUUAUUAUUGCACAAACAAAGUGGUAUAUUGUUACUUUUCUGACUGAGAUUUUGAUUUGUCAGUGGUGACAUGGUGGUGGGAUUGUACAGGUGUCACGAAGCUGUCAUAUCAUGCCUGUAUCUGUGCUCCAAUGAUUGUACUCAUUCAUGGCCAGGCCACAGAUACUGUGUUGGAGGUUUUGGGACAAUAGGCUAAACAGCUAAAAACAACAGCAACAAACAACAACAAAUUGAUAUGUUGGGUGAAUGGAUGCUCAUUGUUGCCUGUGUGACUUCAGUGUUAGAUAUUUCUUGAAAUGGUUCACGUUUUAGUCCUGUGCUGCAACGGUUUAGAAAUAUGUGUACAGUCAGAAGGAAAGACUGUAACAAGGGGAAGAUCUACAUUGUACAUAACUGUAAUUAUUUAUGUUUAUUUUAUCGUUCAUACCAUAUCAAUGCCUUGUACAGUGUGGUUUUUUCCAGUUCAUUUAAAAUUAUUUUGUAUUUUAUUUUUAUAAACUGGUUAUAAAUAAA
ensembl:lncRNA